rfam:Clostridium tepidiprofundi DSM 19306 CLTE_contig000052, whole genome shotgun sequence.
AAGAUAAGAUUUCCCAUGACGAAAGUCAGUAAGACCCCUUGAAGAACACAAGGUUGAUAGGUCGGAGGUGUAAGUGCAGUAAUGUAUUUAGCUGACCGAUACUAAUAGGUCGAGGACUUGACCAA